UACGAAGGGGGCUAGCGUUGCUCGGAAUCACUGGGCGUAAAGCGCACGUAGGCGGAUUGCUAAGUCAGGCGUGAAAGGCCUGGGCUCAACCCCGGGGAAUUGCGCUUGAGACUGGGCUGGCUUGAGUGCGGGAGAGGAUGGUGGAAUUCCCAGUGUAGAGGUGAAAUUCGUAGAUAUUGGGAAGAACACCAGUGGCGAAGGCGGCUCACUGGUCCGGUACUGACGCUGAGGUGCGAAAGCGUGGGGAGCAAACAGG
rnacentral:rRNA from 1 species